rnacentral:rRNA from 1 species
UGAGGAACAUGACUUUCGCGGGGGAUAGCCGGCCCAACGGCCGGGUAAUACCGCGUACGACCUUUUGGGGACAUCCCUGAUUGGUGAAAGCAGCAAUGCGCCGAAAGAGUGCCUCGCGGCCUAUCAGCUUGUUGGUGGGGUAAUGGCCCACCAAGGCUUCGACGGGUAGCCGGCCUGAGAGGGUGACCGGCCACACUGGGACUGAGACACGGCCCAGACUCCUACGGGAGGCAG